CCUCAGCCUAUGUNGCCAGCGCGUGAUNGCGGGGACUCAUAGGAGACUGCCGGGGUCAACUCGNAGGAAGGUGGGGACGACAUCAAAUCAUCAUGCCCCUUAUGUCUUGGGCUUCACNCAUGCUACAAUGGCCGGUACAAAGGGUUGCGAUACUGUGAGGUGGAGCUAAUCCCAAAAANCCGGUCUCAGUUCGGAUUGGGGUCUGCAACUCGACCCCAUGAANUCNGAGUCGCUAGUAAUCGCAGAUCAGCAACGCUGCGGUGAAUACGUUCCCGGGCCUUGUACACACCGCCCGUCAAGUCACGAAAAUUGGUAACACCCGAAGCCGGUGGCCUAACCCUUGUUGGGGGGGGA
rnacentral:rRNA from 1 species